rnacentral:rRNA from 1 species
CCUACGGGUGGCUGCAGUGGGGAAUCUUAGACAAUGGGCGCAAGCCUGAUCUAGCCAUGCCGCGUGAGCGAUGAAGGCCUUAGGGUUGUAAAGCUCUUUCAGUGGGGAAGAUAAUGACUGUACCCACAGAAGAAGCCCCGGCUAACUCCGUGCCAGCAGCCGCGGUAAUACGGAGGGGGCUAGCGUUGUUCGGAAUUACUGGGCGUAAAGCGCACGUAGGCGGACUGGAAAGUCAGAGGUGAAAUCCCAGGGCUCAACCUUGGAACUGCCUUUGA